AUUUAGACCAAGAUUUGUGCUGUUCCAAAACUGGUUUGACAAAUGUUUGUUUACCAGUUCGGAUGUUUCUCGCUGAAGCAGUCACCGUCUUUAAUUCCUACUCAUUUGAGAUCUGAUUGGGGAAUUCGUGUUCCGGGAGGACCAGCGAGGCGGCG